rnacentral:ncRNA from 2 species
GCCGGGGACCCACCCGCACCACCGGGGUGAAUCGGUCCUGCGACCGCCCGCAGCGGACGCCCGGACCGUAGGGCCACCCUUCCGCCGGCCCGAACCCUUCAGCUAACCCGGU